rnacentral:rRNA from 1 species
UGGCGAACGGGUGAGUAAUACAUCGGAACGUGUCCUGUAGUGGGGGAUAGCCCGGCUAAAGCCGGAUUAAUACCGCAUACGCUCUGCGGAGGAAAGCGGGGGAUCCUUCGGGACCUCGCGCUACAGGGGCGGCCGAUGGCAGAUUAGCUAGUUGGUGGGGUAAAGGCCUACCAAGGCGACGAUUUGUAGCUGGUCUGAGAGGACGACCAGCCACACUGGGACUGAGACCACGGCCCAGACUCCUACGGGAGGCAGCAGUGGGGAAUUUUGGACAAUGGGCGCAAGCCUGAUCCAGCAAUGCCGCGUGUGUGAAGAAGGCCUUCGGGUUGUAAAGCACUUUUGUCCGGAAAGAAAACCUCGUGGUUAAUACCCGUGGGGGAUGACGGUACCGGAAGAAUAAGCACCGGCUAACUACGUGCCAGCAGCCGCGGUAAUACGUAGGGUGCAAGCGUUAAUCGGAAUUACUGGGCGUAAAGCGUGCGCAGGCGGUUCGCUAAGACAGAUGUGAAAUCCCCGGGCUUAACCUGGGAACUGCAUUUGUGACUGGCGGGCUAGAGUAUGGCAGAGGGGGGUAGAAUUCCACGUGUAGCAGUGAAAUGCGUAGAGAUGUGGAGGAAUACCGAUGGCGAAGGCAGCCCCCUGGGCCAAUACUGACGCUCAUGCACGAAAGCGUGGGGAGCAAACAGGAUUAGAUACCCUGGUAGUCCACGCCCUAAACGAUGUCAACUAGUUGUCGGGUCUUCAUUGACUUGGUAACGUAGCUAACGCGUGAAGUUGACCGCCUGGGGAGUACGGUCGCAAGAUUAAAACUCAAAGGAAUUGACGGGGACCCGCACAAGCGGUGGAUGAUGUGGAUUAAUUCGAUGCAACGCGAAAAACCUUACCUACCCUUGACAUGUAUGGAACCCUGCUGAGAGGUGGGGGUGCCCGAAAGGGAGCCAUAACACAGGUGCUGCAUGGCUGUCGUCAGCUCGUGUCGUGAGAUGUUGGGUUAAGUCCCGCAACGAGCGCAACCCUUGUCCCUAGUUGCUACGCAAGAGCACUCCAGGGAGACUGCCGGUGACAAACCGGAGGAAGGUGGGGAUGACGUCAAGUCCUCAUGGCCCUUAUGGGUAGGGCUUCACACGUCAUACAAUGGUCGGAACAGAGGGUCGCCAACCCGCG